CCUUCCUUCAGUGUUGAAACACUCUCUACUGAACCAGGCUCCACACCAAGUUCACUGGAGUUUGUUUCAGUAUUGCAAGAAUGAU
ensembl:miRNA MIR653 microRNA 653